rnacentral:lncRNA from 1 species
GACGAGGGAUUGAGAUCUAGCGUCGGGAUUGAUCAGUCUUUGGAGUCCGAAUUCGGAGACGAGAGGCUCGCCGUCGUCGGAGAGAAAUAUAUUGCUCGAUUUCAAGUUUCCGUGUGGCAAGCUUAGAAACCCUAACUCUUCGUGGAGGUACCACAUCCCUCUCGCGAUUCCUUGAAUGAUUUUAAGCCGAGACGGCCAAUCUAAUUGAAAAUCCUCGCCGUGGUCGCCGUGUAAUCGGUGAAGCAAACUCAGAUUUGGGACGAAUUCGAACACCAGUAGUUUCUCGUCUCGCCGGAAAUGGUAAGCAAGAGGAGGUAAUAUGUUCAUGUGUCUUAAGCUUCCUAGUUUCUUAAUCUCCUUGUCGAAUACAUCUGUACUCACUUGAUUCAUCACCGUCACACGCUUCACCACCACCGUAACGCCGCUCGCGAUCACCGCCUUGUAAGCAGACCCCACGCCUCCGCUGCUGCUAGGACGGCUACUUCCACCGCCGGGAUUUCCGAGAACGUGAGCCGCUGCUUUCAUCAAGUCAGACAAAGCAAAAACACCCUUUUCUUUGUUCACCAUCACCAAAUCCGCCGUUGAUUUAUUCGUCAACUCGCCGGAGCGACUGGUCUUACUCUGCCUUUCUCCACCAGUUCUUGAUCCAUCAACAGUUACCUAUCAACCACAUCAAGAAUUAGUGUUUGUGAGUUACAAAAACUCUCUUUUAGCGUUUUUGAUAGCAGUGAAUUCAUAUAUAUAGGCAUUGCUCUGUGAAUAAACCUGAAUCUGGUGGUCGUCGUUGCUGUCUUGUUCAGUGGUACGACGCGUCCGCCUCCUGCGUCUCUUCUUUUUCUUCUUCUUGAAGACUAAGGAGAUGAUGAUAACGAUAAAAAGGACUCCUAGUGUACCGAAUGCUAUAUAGUAUUUGCUCUUGUUUGCAUCUUUCAUUGUUCCUUCUAUAGAAAUUGAUGCACUCCGAUUUCUUGUGUGCGUGCAGGGAGUCGCUAGUUUCGCACCGCAAAGGCCAGGGUUCCCCGCGAAAAUCCUCGCGUCGAAUUUGGAUAAACCGGGUGGUAUUUCUCCGGAUAACCGGUUGUUUGAGAGAUCGACAUCAGCUAAAGUCGAUUGGUUAAACUUCGGUAUAACACCGAUGAACUGGUUGUUUUCGAGGUGUAACUCCAUUAGAUUUGGCAAUGUAGUGGCCAAAGAAAGAGGAAUGAGGCCAGAGAACUCGUUGUUGGAUAGCCAAGCUUUCUUUAGAGAGACCAUGUUUUCGAAAUAAUCAGAAGGGAUGUUACCAGAGAAUCGAUUGCCUGAUAAGUAAAUCGAUUUCAGAGCGGUUAAUCGGUUAAACUCGGGUAUAUUACCGGAGAAUGAGUUGUUCAUUAUGCUUAUGGUGCGUAAAUCGGGUAGGUCAGCUAAUGGUGUGACGUCGAUGUUCCCCGAGAGACCCAUCUUUUCGAUCUGGAGGCCAAAGACUGUGUUUUUGUUGCAGAGCAAUCCAACCCAUCUUUGUGUUCCUCCACAAGGCUCUGAAUCUGGUGUCCAAGAAUCGAGAGACUUGGUGUUGGUUAAUGACUCCUUGAAUUUCAACAAUGCUUCUGAUUCGGUUCUCGAAUUUGCAGAAAGUGCUGUUAGAGAUAGCACGAACGGCCAGAUUAGCCAGGCCACGGCCAUUUAACUCUUAACCGGAGCUAGGCCGCCGGGGUUUUUUUAGAAACUUGUGUUUUUUUAUGUUCUUGUUCAGAGUAGUUUUUUUUGUCGCUGAUUCGAUUUACUAAUUUUCUCUGUUUCUGUCUUGUUUCUCGCUCUGACUCUGUUUCUCUGUCUUGUGUUUUUCUUUGUCAUUUGUGAUCCAUUGGAUGAGAGAAACUUAGGAGCUUAUGGCGCGAAUGUAAGUUGAAAGAGUCAAGAUUGAGAAAAGCAAAAUCGAUUACGAAAUAAUUGGGAAAUGUGUUUUUUUUUGUUGUUUGGCCAAUGGCCCAAUGCUACUAUUUAUUAGGAUUUUUUAUUUGGGAUU